rnacentral:lncRNA from 1 species
UCAGGGAAUGCACCCCCAUUAUCUUCACCCUAUCCUCCGCUGAGUCCUAUAAUGCUCCCUUUUCUUCCUCUGAACUCAGUGCUGCCUUACAGUCAUGUCACAGCACUCACGAAGGCUGUGAGGAAAUUUUCCUUCUCAUUGGCGAGAAGCUCUUAUCCUCCCCAUUUCCUGAAAGCCAAUAAAUCGGGUACGCUCCAUCAAGAUUACCGCCCCAUCCCUCUUAACUAGCUGGUUAACUUCUGAUUAAUGUGGUAUCUUGAAUCUCACAAUCUUCUCUCUCCUUCCCAGUAUGGUUUCCGUUUCUUUCCUCUCCAAACACACUCUCCAGGUCAAAAUUGCAUCUUCUUUUUUCCUCAGUUCGAAGGUGUCCCACAAGGCAGUGUUCUCAGUACCACUUUAUUCCUUCUUGCUGUUAAUGACUUUGUCUCACUUCUACUACCAGGAGCCCAGUCAUCACUACAUUUUGAUGAUUUAACCAUCUUCGCCUCUGGCACAUCCAUACCAAAACAACGCCAAUUCCUUUAUCUGCAAUAUCAUCUGUAUCUUCCUGGCCCACUAAGCAUGGCUUCUGCUUUUCUUCCUUCCGCUCCUCUCCAGUUGUAAGCCUGUACACUGAAUCAGGCAUACCAUCCAUCUCUCUGAUGUUAUGCUCGAUUCCACCAUCUUUCCCUCACCAAACUAUCCCACGAUCCCUACUUCCUACCUUUGCUUUCUCCAUUCGCAUGGAUACCCUCCUCUCCCAUUCCCCUUUUCCCCAUCUCCAACCUCUUCUGUUCUCUGUCCAUUUUGUCCCUUCAUGGCUUAUACCUUUCCCCCAUAUUUGCUCCUCCGUUUUCCUUGACCCAUCAAAAUCAAAUAUUCCCCCCGUUGUCCUUCUCAGCCAUUUCCUUGACCAUGUCUCCAUUCAUUCCACCAGUAUUCAUGUUUACAGUGAUGGCUCUAAAUCCACCUCCGUUGCUGGUUUCGCUGUAACCUUCCCAUCUCACUCUUUUAAUUAUUCGCUCCCUUCUUCCUAUUCACUAUUUUUACCGACUCUCGUAACUCAUUAACUCUCAUAAAGUCAAUACACUGGACUAUCCCCUUGUUUUUAAGACCCAGAAUUGGUUGUUCUACCUGUCCACACACCAUAAAACUAUCAGAUUUUGCUGGGUGCCCAGCCCUGUUGGAAUCCCUGGCAGUGGACAGACAUAUGCUUUAGAACGCUACGCCGCUAUGCUCACGUAUUCCAGCCAUGUAUUAUUUUACCCCCACUUUAAGACCUUGUAUACCCAAUGGAAAUAUUUCUGGUCAAGUCUCUGCAAUAAUAAAUUACAUACUCUAAAACUAUCAAUCUUCUCCUGGUCAGCUCCAUUUCAUCGCCCGCAUAUGCAUUGACCACACCCAUCUAACACACUCCUGUUAGUCCUGCCCAUGCUUUGAUGCAGCCCAAACCUCUGCUUUCCCCCAGCUAUCCUCCCUUCACCGAGCUCCCAACCUAUCAGACAUCCUUACAGAAUCUCACACUUUCUGCUUUGACAACCUGUUCUCCUUCAGAUGUAUACAUAUCCUUCACUUGACCUAACCCCUUUAUCUAACCUGACCUUAACCCAUUCACUCGUCAACUCCUUUGCCCAGCUUUACCAACUAACUACUACCACCCUUUACUAAACUUUACUAUACCUUCCUAUAGUGCUACAUGACCUAAGAUGUCUAGCACAUUUAUUUUGCUUUUAACCAUUAAUCAUUCAUGGUAUCUUCGAAAAUUAAGGUUUUGUUUUUCAUUCCUGUUUGCUUGACAUGAAGGCUAACAGCAAAUAUUCCUACAAAUACUCCCAAAGUGUGUGGUAUGGGCUAUCACGCCAGUAUUCAAAAUAUUUGAGAAGAACGUCAUGACUUGAAUGUAGUUAUACUGUACGGCUACUAGAGUCCACUACUGAGCUGGUGGGUAUGCCGAAUUCUGUAGUUAUUGGAUCUUUGGUAUACAAUGACUGGCAACAGUAUUGUAGAGCAGAACCAUUGCACGAUGAAGGUGAUCAUUGCAAGGAAGCACUGUUCUAUUGUCGAAGAUGUACACUUAUACAAUGUUAAGCCCUGUGAAGGGACAGCAACGACCACGACUCCUGUGAGUGGCAUAUACUGGUUCAAGAUUUGGGACUAUGCGACCGGAUCAAGAAGACCAAGAUGUUAACCUGUCCAGCAAUAAUGAAGAUUUGGAGCAUACCCUGGGAGAAGCUGUGUGGGUCAGGAAGUGUGUUGAGUACUUCACCUUAGUGUCACAGCCUGGCGUUGCCACCAAAGUGAACUCACUGCGACUUGUGUAAGAUUUGAGGUACCGCAACUGCACUGUGUCAGGGGAUGAGCAUUCUGACCUGGAAGAGAACGACAACGAUCCGAUGAGCAAUUCCGAGUGAGACGGGGCGAGGAACAGCCGUGCCAGUGAGGUGUGACAAGUAUCCUGUUAGUGCGUAUGGAGAGGCCACACUGUACAGUUGCUAUUGAUGGAUCCCUCUUCCAGUAUCACCCAAGAUUUAGACCACUCAUGGAAAAGCUUAUUGCAGAGUUUGCUCCUGACAGAUCAUUUAACCUGCUACUGGUUCACGAUGGCUCAGGGAAAGGAUCAGCUUUGGCAGCUUCCAUUGCUGAGAGACUGCAGAAAAGGUUGUGAAGAAGAAAAAGUAAACGGAGUAACGGAGAACGGCAGUGUAUCUACUGGGGGAGGGGGGGGGGGGGAGGGAUGCAUCUUCCAUCUCCCCUAAUCAUCUCUGGCCUUCCCAAACUAUACCAGUAAAAUAAAUAACUACUGCUUCCACAAGGUUUUAAAAUAAUGAAAAAAAUGAUUAAUAGAACUAGGACUUCCAAGCAAAAGCAAAACAAAAAAUAAGGGAUUGGGAAAUGUUAUCACUUUUUUCAGAGUCGCUAGUGGUAUGAAAUAAUAUCUGAUGGAAUUGAAUUUUUUUUGUGCUUUUGUGUCUGUAAAACAGCUAAAGAAAUUACACAAGAUUACUCUUAUGUUAUUAUGCAUUACUUUGUUAUUCAGUAAAUAUUACUCAGUAAUUAA